AUACGGAGGGUGCAAGCGUUACUCGGAAUCACUGGGCGUAAAGCGCGCGCAGGCGGCUUGGUAAGUUGGAUGUGAAAGCCUACGGCUCAACCGUAGAACUGCAUCCAAAACUGCCAAGCUAGAGUGUGGGAGAGGAAGAUGGAAUUAGUUGUGUAGGGGUAAAAUCCGUAGAGAUAACUAGGAAUACCAAAAGCGAAGGCAAUCUUCUGGAACACUACUGACGCUGAGGCGCGAAAGCGUGGGGAGCAAACAGGAUUAGAUACCCUAGUAGUCC
rnacentral:rRNA from 1 species